rnacentral:antisense_RNA from 1 species
CUUGAUGGCGCCCAGCCACAGCGGGUGGCCCUCCGGCCGCUCCUGGCCGUAGGUGGCGAGCAGCGCCUGCGCCUC